GUUUUAAUAGUUUAAUAAAAACAUUGGUCUUGUAAAUCAAAAAUAAAGAUAUUCUUUUUAAAACA
rnacentral:tRNA from 1 species